UUAAAGGUCUCAUAUUAUGCUCAUUUCCAGGUUCAUAGAUGUAUUUUAAUGUUGCAAUAGAACAUUUUUACAUGCUGCAAUGUUCAAAAAACCCUUUAUUGUUCUCAUACUGCAGCCUGAGUCUGCCUCUGUCUGAAAACCCCUGAUUCACAGCCUGUCUCCUCCCACUCUGCUCUGAUUGGUCAGCGUUUUCUGUCAAUCAAAGGUCCUCAACAACAACAGCGUCACCCUCCCUGCCCCCUCACAGUCUGAGGGCAGGGAGAGAGAAGCAGAAGAGUAAAAUAAACUACUUUAAAGUUUAUAAACCAGAAACUUCACCCAGCGCAUGUUACCGGAGGAAACUGAUCAGAAAUCGGCGACACAUGAUGAACGUCUGCGGUCCAGACUCCAGGUUUUCCUGAGGGUUUCUCUCAGAUCCAUCUGUGAGAAAUGACCGACAGAAUCAUCCCAGAGGAGAGCAGACAGCUGAGAGCAGAUGGGAGAAACAGAGCUAACCCGUUAGCAUGUAGCUACAUGCUAACGGGUUAGCUACAUGCUACCGCUAUGAGACGGUGUGUAAAGACAGCGACCAUCAGGGUGGAAAAUAGAAGAUGUGAAACAGUAGUCAGUUCAUUAUUUCUGGUAAAAGGCACCUGAUAAAUGUAUGGAAGAUCA